GAUGAAGAACGUAGCGAAAUGCGAUAAGUAAUGUGAAUUGCAGAAUUCAGUGAAUCAUCGAAUCUUUGAACGCACAUUGCGCCCCCCAGUAUUCUGGCGGGCAUGCCUGUUCGAGCGUCAUUUCAACCAUCAAGCCCUGCUUGUGUUGGGGUCCUGCGGCUGCCCGCAGGCCCUGAAAACCAGUGGCGGGCUCGCUAGUCACACCGAGCGCAGUAGCACAUCUCGCUCAGGGCGUGCGGCGGGCUCCAGCCGUUAAAGCACCCAACUUUCGCAAGGUUGACCUCGGAUCAGGUAGGAAUACCCGCUGAACUUAAGCAUAUCAAUAAGCGGAGGA
rnacentral:misc_RNA from 1 species